rnacentral:miRNA from 1 species
CUGCAGUUGGGACCCGUUCAC